rnacentral:misc_RNA from 1 species
GCUAGUCCAGCCAUGACUGCAUGAACAACAGCACUUUACUCAUAUAGGGAAAAAAAAUCCCACCCAUAGCUUUCAAACAGGUAAAAAAAAAUGCCUGAAUUUUGUUUUUACACACACCUCAAUUUACCAAUUCAAGUUAGAUGAGUUUCUAAAUUCUAUAAGAAGGAUGAAACACAAAAUCCAGUGUCAUUAUUCACACCAAAUUCAAUGACUACAACACCAUUACCCACAAAAAGGACAACUUACUAAUAAAAUAACAGAAAAAAAUAGUGGAGCAGAACUGAGGUGAAGUAAAUACAAGCAUCGUAGUGAAAAGACCCAGCUUUCCCUAAAAGGCUCAUAACCAUUAUUUUCGCAACAUAGACUUGACGAAAAUCAAAACAAAAACGCAUUGCACCUAAUAGUGAAUUAGAACAAACUCAAAUGAAAGCGCCACAUCCACAUAAUUCCUGAUAAUAACAAUUCAAAACCUCGCAUCAAUUACUCCCAUAGCAACCUAGAGUUUGUCUCAGGAAAGAAAAA